UACAGAGGUGGCAAGCGUUGUUCGGAAUUACUGGGCGUAAAGGGCGCGUAGGCGGCCAUCUAAGUCAGACGUGAAAUCCCCCGGCUUAACCUGGGAACUGCGUCUGAUACUGGACGGCUUGAGUAUGGGAGAGGGAUGUAGAAUUCCAGGUGUAGCGGUGAAAUGCGUAGAUAUCUGGAGGAAUACCGGUGGCGAAGGCGGCAGCCUGGACCAUUACUGACGCUGAGGCGCGAAAGCUAGGGGAGCAAACGGG
rnacentral:rRNA from 1 species